GUUUAAGGAACUUUUGCUAAAAUCGCGAACAUCGUGUUCGCACCGCAAAAGUCAGCACAUCCUGUGCA
rnacentral:sRNA from 1 species